rnacentral:rRNA from 1 species
UACGAAGGGGGCUAGCGUUGUUCGGAAUUACUGGGCGUAAAGCGCACGUAGGCGGACAUUUAAGUCAGGGGUGAAAUCCCGAGGCUCAACCUCGGAACUGCCUUUGAUACUGGAGAUCUUGAGUCCGGAAGAGGUAAGUGGAACUGCGAGUGUAGAGGUGAAAUUCGUAGAUAUUCGCAAGAACACCAGUGGCGAAGGCGGCUUACUGGUCCGGAACUGACGCUGAGGUGCGGAAAAGCGUGGGGAGCAAACAGG